rnacentral:tRNA from 1 species
AAAUAGUUGUAUACAUAUAGUAAUUGAGAAUACAUUUAGUUUCGGCCUAAAUUAAGUAAAAUAUUAUUUA